rnacentral:rRNA from 1 species
UGACUNGAGUGCAGAAGGGGAGAGUGGANUUCCAUGUGUAGCGGUGAAAUGCGUAGAUAUAUGGAGGAACACCAGUGGCGAAAGCGGCUCUNUGGUCUGUCACUGACGCUGAGGCUCGAAAGCGUGGGUAGCGAACAGGAUUAGAUACCCUGGUAGUNCACGCCGUAAACGAUGAGUGCUAGGUGUUAGGCCCUUNCCGGGGCUUAGUGCCGGAGCUAACGCAAUAAGCACUCCGCCUGGGGAGUACGACCGCAAGGUUGAAACUCAAAGGAAUUGACGGGGGCCCGCACAAGCGGUGGAGCAUGUGGUUUAAUUCGAAGCAACGCGAAGAACCUUACCAGGUCUUGACAUCCCGAUGCUAUUCUUAGAGAUAGGAAGUUACUUCGGUACAUCGGAGACAGGUGGUGCAUGGUUGUCGUCAGCUCGUGUCGUGAGAUGUUGGGUNNNNNNNNNNNAACGAGCGCAACCCUUAUUGUUAGUUGCCAUCAUUAAGUUGGGCACUCUAGCGAGACUGCCGGUAAUAAACCGGAGGAAGGUGGGGAUGACGUCAAAUCAUCAUGCCCCUUAUGACCUGGGCUACACACGUGCUACGAUGGUCGGUACAACGAGUUGCGAGCCGGUGACGGCAAGCUAAUCUCUGAAAGCCGAUCUCAGUUCGGAUUGGAGGCUGCAACUCGCCUCCAUGAAGUCGGAAUCGCUAGUAAUCGCGGAUCAGCACGCCGCGGUGAAUACGUUCCCGGGCCU